rfam:Dipodomys ordii contig_7232, whole genome shotgun sequence.
GGGAAUGUGGCUUAGUGGUAGAGUGCUUGCCUAACAUGCAUGAAGCCCUGGGUUCGAUUCCUCAGUACCA